CGGCGGACGGGUGAGUAACACGUGGGCAUCUUGCCCGCAAGACCAGGAUAACUCCGGGAAAACCGGAGCUAAUACCGGAUAACACCAAAGACCGCAUGGUCUUUGGUUGAAAGGCGGUUUCGGCUGCCACUUGCGGAUGGGCUCGCGGCGCAUUAGCUAGUUGGUGAGGUAACGGCUCACCAAGGCGACGAUGCGUAGCCGGCCUGAGAGGGUGACCGGCCACACUGGGUCUGAGACACGGCCCAGACUCUUACGGGAGGCAGCAGUAGGGAAUUUUCCGCAAUGGACGAAAGUCUGACGGAGCGACGCCGCGUGAGCGAAGAAGGCCUUCGGGUCUUAAAGCUCUGUUGUGAGGGACGAAGGAGCGCCGUUUGAAUAAGGCGGCGCGGUGACGGUACCUCACGAGAAAGCCCCGGCUAACUACGUGCCAGCAGCCGCGGUAAUACGUUGGGGGCGAGCGUUGUCCGGAAUUAUUGGGCGUAAAGCGCGCGCAGGCGGUCCUUUAAGUUUGAUGUGAAAGCCCACGGCUCAACCGUGGAGGGUCAUUGGAAACUGGGGGACUUGAGUGCAGGAGAGGAGAGCGGAAUUCCACGU
rnacentral:rRNA from 1 species